CAGGUGGGACGACCAAAACAACCAGGAGGUUGGCUUAGAAGCAGCCAUCCUUUAAAGAUAGCGUAACAGCUCACUGGUCUAAACAAGUUGUCCUGCGGCGAAGAUGUAACGGGGCUCAAGCCACGAGCCGAAGCUUAGGACGCGUGAGCGUGGUAGCAGAGCGUAGUGUGAUAUAGCUCCAUGUCUCUUUAGUCGUUGGUGCGUGCAAGCGCGCACCCUACGGCCUUGGAGACAAGGAGCUUUCUGUGAAGCCGGGGCGUGAGCCAUCCGGUGGAGAGAUCACUAGCGAGAAUGAUGACAUGAGUAGCGACAAAGAGUGUGAGAGACACUCUCGCCGGAAGUCCAAGGGUUCCUGCUUAAAGCUAAUCUGAGCAGGGUAAGCCGGCCCCUAAGCCGAGGCCGAAAGGCGUAGGCGAUGGGAACCAGGUUAAUAUUCCUGGGCCAGGAGGAUGUGACGGAUUGUGGCGGCGUGCGUGCCUUAUCGGAUUGGCGCGUAUCCAAGACAGUCCCUGGAAAUAGCCCUCCAUCGGACCGUACCCUAAACCGACACAGGUGGACUGGUAGAGCAUACCAAGGCGCUUGAGAGAACGAUGUUGAAGGAACUCGGCAAAAUACCUCCGUAAGUUCGCGAGAAGGAGGCCCGGGCCAUGAGGUCCGGGGGCACAAACCAGGGGGUGGCGACUGUUUACUAAAAACACAGGGCUCUGCGAAGUCGCAAGACGACGUAUAGGGUCUGACGCUGCCCGGUGCCGGAAGGUUAAAAGGAGGUGUGCAAGCACCGAAUUGAAGCCCCGGUAAACGGCGGCCGUAACUAUAACGGUCCUAAGGUAGCGAAAUUCCUUGUCGGGUAAGUUCCGACCUGCACGAAUGGCGUAACGACUUCCCCGCUGUCUCCAACAUCGACUCAGCGAAAUUGAAUUGCCUGUCAAGAUGCAGGCUUCCCGCGGUUAGACGGAAAGACCCCGUGCACCUUUACUACAGCUUCGCACUGGCAUCAGGCUGGGCAUGUGCAGGAUAGGUGGUAGGCUUUGAACCCGUGACGCCAGUCGCGGUGGAGCCUCCCUUGAGAUACCACCCUUGCGCUGCUUGAUGUCUAACCGCGGUCCGUUAUCCGGAUUCGGGACCCUGCGUGGCGGGUAGUUUGACUGGGGCGGUCGCCUCCCAAAGAGUAACGGAGGCGCGCGAAGGUUGGCUCAGAGCGGUCGGAAAUCGCUCGUUGAGUGCAAUGGCAGAAGCCAGCCUGACUGCGAGACUGACAGGUCGAGCAGAGUCGAAAGACGGCCAUAGUGAUCCGGUGGUCCCGAGUGGAAGGGCCAUCGCUCAACGGAUAAAAGGUACGCCGGGGAUAACAGGCUGAUACUGCCCAAGAGUCCAUAUCGACGGCAGUGUUUGGCACCUCGAUGUCGGCUCAUCUCAUCCUGGGGCUGGAGCAGGUCCCAAGGGUACGGCUGUUCGCCGUUUAAAGAGGUACGUGAGCUGGGUUUAGAACGUCGUGAGACAGUUCGGUCCCUAUCUGCCGUGGGUGUAGGAUACUUGAGAGGAGUUGCCCCUAGUACGAGAGGACCGGGGUGAACGAUCCACUGGUGGACCUGUUGUUGCGCCAGCAGCAGUGCAGGGUAGCUAUGAUCGGACAGGAUAACCGCUGAAGGCAUCUAAGCGGGAAGCCCCCCUCAAAACAAGGUAUCCCCGAGGGCCGUGGUAGACCACCACGUCGAUAGGCCGGAGAUGUAAGUGCAGCAAUGCAUUCAGUUGACCGGUACUAAUGGCCCGAUAGGCUUGGUUUG
rnacentral:rRNA from 1 species